GAAUUCAUUGAAGAGUUGCUGUCUCCCCCUUUUGGGGGUUUAGUGGCAUUUGUGA
rnacentral:ncRNA from 3 species